rnacentral:rRNA from 1 species
GCUUGUUGGUGAGGUAAUGGCUCACCAAGGCGACGACGGGUAGCCGGCCUGAGAGGGUGACCGGCCACACUGGGACUGAGACACGGCCCAGACUCCUACGGGAGGCAGCAGUGGGGAAUAUUGCACAAUGGGCGAAAGCCUGAUGCAGCGACGCCGCGUGAGGGAUGACGGCCUUCGGGUUGUAAACCUCUUUCAGUAGGGAACAAGGCCAGCAUUUUUGUUGGUUGAGGGUACUUGCAGAAGAAGCGCCGGCUAACUACGUGCCAGCAGCCGCGGUAAUACGUAGGGCGCAAGCGUUAUCCGGAAUUAUUGGGCGUAAAGAGCUCGUAGGCGGUUUGUCGCGUCUGCCGUGAAAGUCCGGGGCUCAACCCCGGAUCUGCGGUGGGUACGGGCAGACUAGAGUGAUGUAGGGGAGACUGGAAUUCCUGGUGUAGCGGUGAAAUGCGCAGAUAUCAGGAGGAACACCGAUGGCGAAGGCAGGUCUCUGGGCAUUAACUGACGCUGAGGAGCGAAAGCAUGGGGAGCGAACAGGAUUAGAUACCCUGGUAGUCCAUGCCGUAAACGUUGGGCACUAGGUGUGGGGGACAUUCCACGUUUUCCGCGCCGUAGCUAACGCAUUAAGUGCCCCGCCUGGGGAGUACGGCCGCAAGGCUAAAACUCAAAGGAAUUGACGGGGGCCCGCACAAGCGGCGGAGCAUGCGGAUUAAUUCGAUGCAACGCGAAGAACCUUACCAAGGCUUGACAUGAACCGGUAAUACCUGGAAACAGGUGCCCCGCUUGCGGUCGGUUUACAGGUGGUGCAUGGUUGUCGUCAGCUCGUGUCGUGAGAUGUUGGGUUAAGUCCCGCAACGAGCGCAACCCUCGUUCUAUGUUGCCAGCACGUAAUGGUGGGGACUCAUAGGAGACUGCCGGGGUCAACUCGGAGGAAGGUGAGGACGACGUCAAAUCAUCAUGCCCCUUAUGUCUUGGGCUUCACGCAUGCUACAAUGGCCGGUACAAUGGGUUGCGAUACUGUGAGGUGGAGCUAAUC